UAUUUGUAGUCUUAACCGACUAGAGCCAAAGAUCAUGACAACUCAAGUAGAUAGUUUUCUAGGAGAAGGACAAUCAAUUGAUACACCACCACUAUUUAAUGGCAUAAACUAUACACAUUGGAAAAUACGCAUGCGCAUUUUUAUUCAAUCACAAAACUAUUAUCUAUGGAAAAUCAUAACAAAUGACCUUCACACACUCUCUCAAACUAUUAAUGAAAAGGACUUAGCACAAUUGAAC
rnacentral:lncRNA from 1 species